rnacentral:lncRNA from 10 species
CUCGUGCUCAGUGAGAGAAGCCAGACACGAAAGGCCACGCAGUGUACCAAAGAGAGGCGUUUUGAACAUUAAGACGCUUUGCUGCUUCUCACCUGAAACACGUAACAGGAACACCAACCUCUUCAGCCGCGGGAAAUCUUCUUUGACACAAAACUCAAACCGAGUCAACCCAAAGUUCCAAGUUCUUUGCUUUCUCUUCUGUGUGUGUGUUGGUUUGUCCCAAAAGUCAGUUUGCAAGUUGAAACUUCAUGAAAUUACUCGUAGCAGAAAUAAAGUACAUUGUACAAAUCA